rnacentral:rRNA from 1 species
CACGUAGGGUGCGAGCGUUGUCCGGAAUUAUUGGGCGUAAAGAGCGUGUAGGCGGCCAGGUAGGUCCGCUGUGAAAACUCGAGGCUUAACCUCGAGCUGUCGGUGGAAACCAUCUGGCUAGAGUCCGGAAGAGGAGAACGGAAUUCCCGGUGUAGCGGUGAAAUGCGCAGAUAUCGGGAAGAACACCCGUGGCGAAGGCGGUUCUCUGGGACGGUACUGACGCUGAGACGCGAAAGCGUGGGGAGCGAACAGG